AAAGGUAGCAAUCCUGUAUGAACACAGAAGUCUCUGUCUGACUUAAGCUAGCUGGCUAAAUCUAAUUGUUUCCUUCUAUACAAC
ensembl:scaRNA